AACGCAAAUUGCGCUCUUGGGAUAUGCCUGAGAGCAUGCCUUUUUGAGUAUCGGAUCUAUCUCUAUACGCUCUGCGUGUAGGAAAAUGAGCUGUCUUUUUCUUCUUAGGAAGAGAAAGUCGCUUGAAGUACAAGUCGAGUUGCGUCCUUUUCACCUGCCACGGUGUGAGUUUUCCUUGACUGGAAAAUUCAGCGACUUAGUGACGUGGGUAAGCCCAUCAAAACGUCUGCUAAGCUUCGUCAUAGAUCGUGGAUUUUGGAGUCAAGGAAAGAGCGCGUAAGAAAGGCCACGAAAGUGUUGUCUUUCAAAAAAGACUCUGUCUUUUUUCUAACUAUAAGAUCUCAAAUAAGGUAAGAUUACCCGCUGAACUUAA
rnacentral:misc_RNA from 1 species